AGAGAGUUUCUGUUGGGGCUGAUGUUGCCCGGGGGAGCAUUCCAGGGGCUGUGAAGCUACAUCGUAAGGUGUGGUGGAGCGCCUGGAAGAGAGAAUGCUGACAUGAGUAGCGAUAAGGGAGGUGAAAAACCUCCCCGCCGAAAGCCCAAGGGUUCCUGUCCAAGGAUCAUCCGGGCAGGGUUAGUCGGUCCCUAAGGUGCAGCCGAAAGGCCAAGUCGAUGGGGAACAGGCAAAUAUUCCUGUACUUCUACAGCGGAGCAGAGCAGGGACGGAGAAGGGCAGGUCAGCCGGGCAGUGGAUGUCCCGGUGCAAUCCCGUAGGUAGCCCCGUUGGGAAUAUAACGGCGGGGCAACGCCGAGAGGAGACGCCAAGCGGCCUUGUGUCGUGAGUGACUGAUCCCAUGCUUCCAAGAAAAGCUGCGGGCUGCGUUGAUGCUGUGGAAACCGUACCCGAAACCGACUCAGGUGGGCGGGUGGAGAACACCAAGGCGUUUGAGAGAAGCCAGGUUAAGGGACUAGGCAAAUUGACACCGUAACUUCGGGAUAAGGUGUCCACCGUACCGUGUAGUCCCUGCGGGCGAAGCGGGUGGUGGUUGCAACAAAGCGGCGGUAGCGACUGUUUACCAAAAACACAGGACUCUGCGAAGCCGUAAGGCGAUGUAUAGGGUCUGACGCCUGCCCGGUGCCGGAAGGUUAAGAGGAGCUGUCAGCGCAAGCAAAGCAGCGAAUCGAAGCCCCGGUAAACGGCGGCCGUAACUAUAACGGUCCUAAGGUAGCGAAAUUCCUUGUCGGGUAAGUUCCGACCUGCACGAGGGCGUAACGACUUCCGCGCUGUCUCGACCUGGUGCUCAGCGAAAUUGACAUUGGGGUGAAGAUGCCCCAUACCUGCGGAAAGACGGAAAGACCCUGUGAACCUUUACUCUAACUUGGCAGUGGCAUCCGGUCCAAUCUGUGUAGGAUAGGUGGGAGACUUUGAAGUGGUGGCGCUAGCCAUCAUGGAGUCAACGUUGAAAUACCACCCUGAUUGUUCUGGCUGCCUAACUCGGAGACGAGGACACUGUCUGGUGGGGAGUUUGACUGGGGCGGUCGCCUCCCAAAGUGUAACGGAGGCGCGCAAAGGUUCUCUCAGCCUGAUUGGAAACCAGGCGCAGAGUGCAAUGGCAUAAGAGAGCUUGACUGUGAGAUCGACAGAUCGAACAGGUGGGAAACCAGGCCAUAGUGAUCCGGCGGUUCCAGAUGGACGGGCCGUCGCUCAUCGAAUAAAAGGUACUCCGGGGAUAACAGGCUGAUCGCGCCCAAGAGUCCAUAUCGACGGCGCGGUUUGGCACCUCGAUGUCGGCUCAUCGCAUCCUGGGGCUGGAGCAGGCCCCAAGGGUAUGGCUGUUCGCCGUUUAAAGCGGUACGCGAGCUGGGUUCAGAACGUCGUGAGACAGUUCGGUCCCUAUCUUCCGUAGGCGUUGGAGAGUUGAGAGGAGCUGUCCCUAGUACGAGAGGACCGGGAUGGACGCACCUCUGGUGUUCCGGUUGUCGCGCCAGCGGCACUGCCGGGUAGCUACGUGCGGACGGGAUAACCGCUGAAAGCAUCUAAGUGGGAAACCCCCCUCGAGAUGAGCUCUCCCUGAAGGGCCCUCGAAGACUACGAGGUUGAUCGGCUGGAUGUGGAAGCGCGGCAACGCGUGGAGCAAACCAGUACGAAUUGCCCGAACGGCUUAA
rnacentral:rRNA from 1 species